GACGAACGCUGGCGGCGUGCUUAACACAUGCAAGUCGAACGGAAAGGCCCUGCUUUUGUGGGGUGCUCGAGUGGCGAACGGGUGAGUAACACGUGAGUAACCUGCCCUUGACUUUGGGAUAACUUCAGGAAACUGGGGCUAAUACCGGAUAGGAGCUCCUGCUGCAUGGUGGGGGUUGGAAAGUUUCGGCGGUUGGGGAUGGACUCGCGGCUUAUCAGCUUGUUGGUGGGGUAGUGGCUUACCAAGGCUUUGACGGGUAGCCGGCCUGAGAGGGUGACCGGCCACAUUGGGACUGAGAUACGGCCCAGACUCCUACGGGAGGCAGCAGUGGGGAAUAUUGCACAAUGGGCGGAAGCCUGAUGCAGCAACGCCGCGUGCGGGAUGACGGCCUUCGGGUUGUAAACCGCUUUCGCCUGUGACGAAGCGUGAGUGACGGUAAUGGGUAAAGAAGCACCGGCUAACUACGUGCCAGCAGCCGCGGUGAUACGUAGGGUGCGAGCGUUGUCCGGAUUUAUUGGGCGUAAAGGGCUCGUAGGUGGUUGAUCGCGUCGGAAGUGUAAUCUUGGGGCUUAACCCUGAGCGUGCUUUCGAUACGGGUUGACUUGAGGAAGGUAGGGGAGAAUGGAAUUCCUGGUGGAGCGGUGGAAUGCGCAGAUAUCAGGAGGAACACCAGUGGCGAAGGCGGUUCUCUGGGCCUUUCCUGACGCUGAGGAGCGAAAGCGUGGGGAGCGAACAGGCUUAGAUACCCUGGUAGUCCACGCUGUAAACGGUGGGUACUAGGUGUAGGGUCCAUUCCACGGGUUCCGUGCCGUAGCUAACGCUUUAAGUACCCCGCCUGGGGAGUACGGCCGCAAGGCUAAAACUCAAAGGAAUUGACGGGGCCCCGCACAAGCGGCGGAGCAUGCGGAUUAAUUCGAUGCAACGCGUAGAACCUUACCUGGGUUUGACAUGGAUCGGGAGUGCUCAGAGAUGGGUGUGCCUCUUUUGGGGUCGGUUCACAGGUGGUGCAUGGCUGUCGUCAGCUCGUGUCGUGAGAUGUUGGGUUAAGUCCCGCAACGAGCGCAACCCUUGUUCACUGUUGCCAGCACGUUAUGGUGGGGACUCAGUGGAGACCGCCGGGGUCAACUCGGAGGAAGGUGGGGAUGACGUCAAGUCAUCAUGCCCCUUAUGUCCAGGGCUUCACGCAUGCUACAAUGGCUGGUACAGAGAGUGGCGAGCCUGUGAGGGUGAGCGAAUCUCGGAAAGCCGGUCUCAGUUCGGAUUGGGGUCUGCAACUCGACCUCAUGAAGUCGGAGUCGCUAGUAAUCGCAAAUCAGCAACGCUGCGGUGAAUACGUUCCCGGG
rnacentral:rRNA from 1 species